rnacentral:rRNA from 1 species
UAGGGAAUCUUCCACAAUGGACGCAAGUCUGAUGGAGCAACGCCGCGUGAGUGAAGAAGGUUUUCGGAUCGUAAAGCUCUGUUGUUGGUGAAGAAGGAUAGAGGCAGUAACUGGUCUUUAUUUGACGGUAAUCAACCAGAAAGUCACGGCUAACUACGUGCCGG